GAUGAACGCUGGCGGCGUGCCUAAUACAUGCGAGUCGAGCGAACAGACGAGGAGCUUGCUCCUCUGACGUUAGCGGCGGACGGGUGAGUAACACGUGGAUAACCUACCUAUAAGACUGGGAUAACUUCGGGAAACCGGAGCUAAUACCGGAUAAUAUAUUGAACCGCAUGGUUCAAUAGUGAAAGACGGUUUUGCUGUCACUUAUAGAUGGAUCCGCGCCGCAUUAGCUAGUUGGUAAGGUAACGGCUUACCAAGGCAACGAUGCGUAGCCGACCUGAGAGGGUGAUCGGCCACACUGGAACUGAGACACGGUCCAGACUCCUACGGGAGGCAGCAGUAGGGAAUCUUCCGCAAUGGGCGAAAGCCUGACGGAGCAACGCCGCGUGAGUGAUGAAGGUCUUCGGAUCGUAAAACUCUGUUAUUAGGGAAGAACAAAUGUGUAAGUAACUAUGCACGUCUUGACGGUACCUAAUCAGAAAGCCACGGCUAAUUACGUG
rnacentral:rRNA from 1 species